rnacentral:ncRNA from 1 species
AAAUUAUUUCUGGUUUAUUGUUUAUUAAAUGUUUGAAUUAUAUAUAAAUUUUUAAAUAAAAAUAAUAAAUUUUAAAUAAAUUUAAUUUUUAAUUUUAUAUAAUAAUUAAUUUUAAAAUAAUUUUAAAUAAAUUUAAUUUUAGUAAUAUUAAUUUAUUUUUAAUUAAAAUUGUGCCAGCAAUUGCGGUUAAACAAUUAAUAAAAAUAAAUAUUAAAUUUUAAUUUUUAAAAAAAAAAAUAUAAUCAUGUAUAUAUAUACAUGAUAAAAUUUAAAAUUUGAUUAAAUAAGUAAAAUUAAAUAAUUAGAAGGUAUUUUUUCAUAUAUUUUUAAUUUUAAAAAAAAUUGUAAAUUUAAACUAGGAUUAGAUACCCUAUUAUAAUAAUUAAUCAUCAAAAAAAAAAUUUUUUUAAAUUAAAUUAGUAAAAUUGAAAAUUUGAAAAUUAAAGAAUAUGACGGUAUUUAAAUCAAUUUAGAGGAAUUUGUUUAAUAAUUGAUAUUCCACAAUUUAAAUUACUUAUUUUAAGAUUUGUAUAUCGUUGUUAUAAAAAUAUUUUUUAAUAAUUAAUAAUAUUUUAAAAUUUAAAUUUAAAUUUAUAUCAAAUCAAAGAUACAGUUUAUUGAUAAGAUUUAAAAUGAAUUACAAUAAUUGAAAUUAAUUAUAAUAGCUUAUUUGAAAAAUAUAUUAUUAAAUUGGAUUUAAAUGUAAUUAAUUAAUAAUUUUUAUUAAUGAUUAAUGUUUUUAAAUAAGUACAUAUUGCCCGUCACUCUUGUUAGUAAAUUUAUUUUAUAAUUAAGAUAAGUCGUAACAUAGUAGAAGUAUUGGAAAAUGUUUCUA